UUGCUUCCUCUCCACGCUGCUUCGUUUUACCGUUGCCCAGGAUUGCGUCUCUCUUCCUCACCAACUCCGAUCUCUUCUUCGCUCUUCCGCGGCCAUGGAUCGCUCUUCAAUGCCUACAUCCACGCCGAUCCCUCUGUCGGAUUCAACCCUCCCCGCGGUGUCUUCGAAAGCCGAUUCAUUCCGGUGGGGAAGACCAUCUCCGACUACGCGCGUGCCGUCAUCGACGAUCCUCUGAACCUCUACUUUGCCCUCGUCUCUCAACGCUUAGAUGGCAAUGGUCCAGUGCUUACGAGGAACCACGGCAAAGAAGAGGGUUAGGUAUUCCUUUGUGGGCAAGUUGUUACGGCAAGUGGGAUAAUUUACAUUUCCUUUGUGGGCCGUAUCCUGAGGCGUUAGGUAUUCAUUCCAUCUCCAUGAGAUCAAAAGCCGAAUCCUYAUGGUUCCUCAUUGUUCCAUCGGUAGUAAAUUGGUUGAAUUUGAGUGAGGAACUUAGAGAAGCAAGAAGGGAUUCUUCUACCGGUCCCGCGGGUAAAAACGAUACAGAAUAACGGUGAACACUUUCACGUUGCAGCAUGUCUAGAAAGUUCUGUUGACCUCCUACAAGUUUCUACAAUGGAAGGUUCAAAAGCCCAUGGAUCAAGUAUCAACAUAUUUAGGAAGAAAGAAUUUGAGUGAGGAACUUAKAKGAGCAAGAAGGRAUUCUUCUACCGGUCYCGCGGGUAAAAAMGAUACAGAAUAACGGUGAACACUUUCACGUUGCAGCAUUCUUAUUUGUAUUGGAAAUAUGAGGGAUAUUUAUGUAUAAGAUUCUGCUUCGAAGCUACUCAGUCUGUCAAGAUGGAUGAUGGUUCAAUCAACAAACCUAUUGGUGCUUCGUGUACGGUGAACAAGAUUAUUUUGUUCGAGGACAGUUGUAGUUUGAGGGCUUAGAGAAUUGCAAAUAAUUGGGAGUCAAUUAGGCAAAUAUGGAUCAGUAUGCUACUCUUCCCCGUAUGCUGUAUUCUUUUAUCGUUUUCAUUGCCUGCAAACUUUAUUAUAAGGUGGUGUGGGACUAACUCAGCUUGCGGGGGAAUUCUGCACUGCUUUGACAAUGACAGUGAUAUGAAAAAUGCUAGGAAUAUUGGCAGAUUGGUAAUAKUUACCUGGAUGCCAUUGGCAAUUAUAUUAUCAAGAGGUCUGGCUCUGACUAAGUCCAGCACUAUGUAUGUUUCUUUCUUGGGGAUUGUCGUGCAUCACCUAUGUCCUAAUGGAAUGCAACUUCCAAGGACAGCAUGGAACGUGGAAAGAUUAUGUUCUUCUGAUUGAAUUUCUUGAAGUUGAUUUGAAGGUGAAGAAGUGAUAAUACUCUGGCACAAAAAUCUAUUUUGUUCGAUUACUCAGAUUAGUGGUUUUUCACAAUUCAUUGCCCAAAACCUUGUUUUGGUCCCCUUUGCAGACUCUGCAUUACCCGCUUACUCUGUUUCUCUGUUUCUCCGUUUCUCGUCAGUCCUCACKUCUCUUCUCCGUUUCAACCUCUAAAUCCCAGCCUUUCUCACGCUAGGGUUUCUUUAUCGGGAUUCGAUGCAGUUUUUAAAGUGUAACGUGAUCUGAUGAGCAAAAUUCUGACGCUAUUGUGGUUCUUCUGCAUUGCAAGUUUUUUAUUGUCGCGCACCUUGAAGUUACUGAAGAAGGCUCGUUCACCUUAAAGACGGGAUCAUCGGAUGCUUCUGAAUGAAUUUGGUUUUGUUUUCUCUGUUUCUGGUUGAUUUUCUUCUCUAUUUCAAUAUAUGAAUUCCAGUUUUCUUUCGCUAGGGUUUUUAAUGUUUUUAGGGUUUUCGUAUUAUGCUUCAAUUUGUAAUACAAUGUGUUCAUCUACCUUGCAAUAUCGUCAUUUCAUCUCGAAUUUUCAGAUUCUUUAAUAUAUAUUUUUUUAGUUAGGUUUUUAUUGUGACUCACUACSCGAAGUUAGUGAUGAAUGCUUGUGACAGGACUAUAUGAUGUCUCUGAACGGAUUUUGAAUUGAACGAGAUAAUACUUUUCGUAUCUUGAUCAGCUUAGGAAGUCUCUGAUCACUGCUAAUGCUGUAUCGAGCAUCUCGAAGUAAACCAUCGGUAUCUCUUUCGAAUUGUGGUCGAUUUUCUGCUCGAAUUUCAACUGUAUCGCUGUUCCUUCAAUGGAGUUUUAAGCCUGAACUUGAUCAACCACAACGGUAAAAUUGAUCGAGUAAUAGUUCUCAAUCUGUGCUUUAUUGAUGAUUCUUAAUUAGCUGAACUACCGUUGUGAUUGCUAUUCCCUUCUCUCUUCUUUUGAACUUCAAAWCUUGCAGAGGAAAGAGGAUCGUAUGCAUUAACAGUGUUUUUCUUAGAAGUGAUAACUGACACUAUUGAAUAUCUUAGCCCACAAAAGCUACAGAAUCUUCAAAUGACUUUAGUUUUGCUAUAUUUUCUUUUAUGAUGAACCCUCUAUUCCUUGCAACUUAUCUUUCAACUACAUAAUCAUUUGAGCAUAUUUUUAGUGRCAUACUUCUGCUCAAUAUGAUCCCAAAAUUUCUAUUGAUGUUUUGCAAUCAAUUGUUUAAUAAAGAACAGGAUCAAUCGUAGAUCCAAUUAACCAAGAUGAAAGUAGCUUAUCUUGUUUCUUUCACCGCAAGUAUGUAUGAUGAUACUUUACCUCGCUUUCUAUGGAUGAUUGUUUGGUUUUCAAUAACCAGGUACAUGCUUUUUUAGUUGACAACAUGUAGGUGGAURUUUGAAUGUGAUUUUGUGGUCGAAGAUAUUUGAUUUACACUCAGAGCAUGAUGUUAUUGUUUGAAGUAUUCUACUUUAAAAGGUUUAUAAAGAARAAUCAAAGAGGUAURUAUAUUUUCUUUUUAUCUGAUUAGUUCUAAAUUUUGUUUCCCACCAUUUCUACUUGUCAAGAAAGAUUGAUGGCUAAAGUUUGAUUUCUAUUAAUAGCCAGCCAUCCUUUCAGACCACAAUUUUUCUCCAAUAGGGUCUAUAAUUAUCACCUAUUUUGUCACUAGAAAAUGGGUUUUUGGAGUAAAACGGUUUUCAUAAAUACUAUAUAAUAUGAUUUCUAUUUAAUUUUUUUACAAUAUAAAAAGAAAAUUGAGCUGGUUGCAAUUCACGAGGUGUAAAGUGACCAUUCUUCCUUUGCAAAAAACGAAGUGACUAUUCUUGAUAAAUAGCUUUAUUUCAAAUUCCUUUGAAAAAAGAAAAAAAAAACUUUAUUUAAAAUCAAAAGUUCAAAAUUUCAAUACAGUCAUCGAGUAAAAUUUAUCACUAAUUUUAAACAUU